GGCGAGUGAAGCGGUAACAGCUCAAAUUUGAAAUCUGGCCUCACGGUCCGAGUUGUAAUUUGUAGAGGAUGCUUCGAGCAUGGUCUGGCCUAAGUUCCUUGGAACAGGACGUCAUAGAGGGUGAGAAUCCCGUAUGCGGCCAGGUGCCUACGCUCAUGUGAAGCUCCUUCGACGAGUCGAGUUGUUUGGGAAUGCAGCUCAAAAUGGGUGGUAAAUUUCAUCUAAAGCUAAAUAUUGGCCAGAGACCGAUAGCGCACAAGUAGAGUGAUCGAAAGAUGAAAAGCACUUUGGAAAGAGAGUUAAACAGUACGUGAAAUUGUUGAAAGGGAAGCGCUUGCAACCAGACUUGCGCGCGGCCGAUCAUCCGGUGUUCUCACCGGUGCACUCGGCCGUGCUCAGGCCAGCAUCGGUUUUGGCGGCUGGAUAAAGGCCCUAGGAAUGUGGCUCCUCUCGGGGAGUGUUAUAGCCUAGGGUGCAAUGCAGCCUGCUGGGACCGAGGACCGCGCUUCGGCUAGGAUGCUGGCGUAAUGGUUGUAAGCGGCCCGUCUUGAAACACGGACCAAGGAGUCUAACAUCUAUGCGAGUGUUUGGGUGUCAAACCCAUACGCGUAAUGAAAGUGAACGGAGGUGAGAACCCUUAAGGGUGCAUCAUCGACCGGUCCUGAAGUUUACGGAAGGAUCUGAGUAAGAGCAUAGCUGUUGGGACCCG
rnacentral:rRNA from 1 species